rfam:Gossypium raimondii Chr08_contig_1301, whole genome shotgun sequence.
UGUUAAAAAUUUUAUUGAUUUGUACUGUUCUAAAUUGUUGUGGUUGAUUAAAUAAUUAAACAGUGACAUGUGACGUGUUAUGUGGAUUUUAUGUUGAUGUAUAAAUAUUAACUUUUAACAGUAAAAAUUGAUGAAAUUUUUAAGA